rnacentral:rRNA from 1 species
UGGGGAAUUUUGGACAAUGGGGGCAACCCUGAUCCAGCCAUGCCGCGUGAGUGAAGAAGGCCUUCGGGUUGUAAAGCUCUUUCGGCGGGGACGAAACGGUCCGUGACAACACCACGGACUAAUGACAGUACUCGCAGAAGAAGCACCGGCUAACUACGUGCCAGCAGCCGCGGUAAUACGUAGGGUGCAGGCGUUAAUCGGAAUUACUGGGCGUAAAGCGUGCGCAGGCGGCUCCUUAAGUCAGAUGUGAAAUCCCCGGGCUUAACCUGGGAACUGCGUUUGAAACUGAGGGGCUAGAGUGUGGAAGAGGGGGGUGGAAUUCCAGGUGUAGCAGUGAAAUGCGUAGAGAUCUGGAGGAACACCGAUGGCGAAGGCAGCCCCCUGGGCUAACACUGACGCUCAUGCACGAAAGCGUGGGGAGCAAACAGGAUUAGAUACCCGCGUAGUCCCUGAG